ACUCCUACGGGAGGCAGCAGUGGGGAAUAUUGCACAAUGGGCGCAAGUCUGACGGAGCAAUGCCGCGUGAGUGAUGAAGGUUUUCGAAUCGUAAAGCUCUGUUGUAAGGGAAGAAUAGCAAGGAUAGGAAAUGCUCCUUGUCUGACGGUACCUUACCAGAAAGCCACGGCUAACUACGUGCCAGCAGCCGCGGUAAUACGUAGGUGGCAAGCGUUAUCCGGAAUUAUUGGGCGUAAAGCGCAUGUAGGCGGCUUUUUAAGUCUGAUGUGAAAGCCAGUGGCUCAACCACUGAAUUGCAUUGGAUACUGGAAAGCUAGAAUCUUGGAGAGGUAAGUGGAAUUUCAUGUGUAGCGGUGGAAUGCGUAGAUAUAUGAAGGAACACCAAUGGCGAAGGCAGCUUACUGGACAAGUAUUGACGCUGAGAUGCGAAAGUGUGGGUAGCAAACAGGAUUAGAUACCCUGGUAGGAUAGCGU
rnacentral:rRNA from 1 species